GAUGAACGCUGGCGGCGUGCCUAAUACAUGCAAGUCGAGCGAACGGACGAGAAGCUUGCUUCUCUGGUGUUAGCGGCGGACGGGUGAGUAACACGUGGAUAACCUACCUAUAAGACUGGGAUAACUUCGGGAAACCGGAGCUAAUACCGGAUAAUAUUUUGAACCGCAUGGUUCAAAAGUGAAAGACGGUCUUGCUGUCACUUAUAGAUGGAUCCGCGCUGCAUUAGCUAGUUGGCAAGGUAACGGCUUACCAAGGCAACGAUGCAUAGCCGACCUGAGAGGGUGAUCGGCCACACUGGAACUGAGACACGGUCCAGACUCCUACGGGAGGCAGCAGUAGGGAAUCUUCCGCAAUGGGCGAAAGCCUGACGGAGCAACGCCGCGUGAGUGAUGAAGGUCUUCGGAUCGUAAAACUCUGUUAUUAGGGAAGAACAUAUGUGUAAGUAACUGUGCACAUCUUGACGGUACCUAAUCAGAAAGCCACGGCUAACUACGUG
rnacentral:rRNA from 1 species